GAUGCCUUGUUUGGUGAGCUCUUGUAAUUUUUGUUUCAUUUAUGUAUUUGCAAACAACACCUCACCUAUUCACAGGAUUGUGACUCAGAGCUGAGAAAUAAAUACAUUUCCCUGUUACCACUGAUCAGGAUGUUUACUUCAACUUUUUGACCUUUUUUUCUUCUAAGCAAAGUCAUGUGGCCUGCAUCUUUAAAACCUGGACUGAAGAAUUUUGCCAAACAGAAAGAGAAGAAUUGGUUUAUCCUACCUGGGGAUUUUCUACAGCGACUUUGUUUACUUGACUGACUCCUCUUGUUAUCAGAGGUCUCUGGAUAUUGAAGCAAUUAAGAGCUACAGAAAACAACUGUGGACUUCUCAGUGCCUUUCCAGGCCCGGCUGGUAUGAAGACUGAGCCUAACACCUUUGCAAAGUGGCAUUUGAGUGAUUUAUAAUGAAGACAAACCUAAGUGAUCAGCGCAGAGCAGACACUUACACCAAAGAAGCAGAUCCUGGUGACAGGCCACCGUCCUCAGCAGGCUGGGAAGCAAGAAUAUCUCGGACAUGAACUAACCUGUCCUUGUCGUGGAAGGAAAGGGGCAGCCUCCCAACAGACCCAGGCUUCUAUUUCCUCUAUUGCAAAAUGGCCCCGGUGUGGGAACAUGGCUAGUAAUCUCCGCAGGCACAGAGAACACAAGACCCUGUCUGACGAACAGUGCCGCUGGCCUGCCAGUCAUGUGCAGCGGGGUAUACUUUGUCUUGGGAUCUCCAUUUUCCUCCCGACGCUGACAGUUGUUUCUGAUUUUCCUGUUCACUUCAAAUGGCUCCCCACCCCUACUCCCCUACUCCCCACAAACUUCUGUUCUUCCCUCCUUUAUUUGCAGUGGUUCCUAAGUCAUGUCUCAACCAUUUAUACAUUAAUAAGAAGUUCAGCCAGUGUUUGAUUCCCUGUGGAUAUUACAUUAUAUAUUGUAUGCAUGUGUAUACACAGCAUAGAUUCCAUACACAUAGUACACAUAAACCUAUAUAUAAAAUAAUAGUAGCUCCUCAAUAUGGGAAAAAGGUUUUGUGCCUCAUUAGAGAAUUACUUAGCUUGGCUUCCUUCUUACAUAUCAGUGUCCUUUUUCUGUCAUAAAAUAAAUCUCAGACAAAUUUGGGAACAAGUUUUAAAUAAAAAGUAGAAAAAUUUCUUUUACUCUUUAGAGGGAUAGAAGAAUACUAUCCCUCAGAAUUGACUACCUUAAAUAUUUUGGGGUAUUUUUCUAUCUCUUCUCACUUUUAAAAUUGUAAAAUAUUUGUACCUUUAAAAAAAAAAGUAUAGAGAAACGUUUACUUUCUUGUUUUAGACAUGAUUCUAACAACGUUGAUUUCAUUUCCCUCCCCACAGUAGGUUAGAGAUAGCAAUUUUAAAGCAGAGAUAUUGACAAAGAAAGAUAGCAGGUAGACAAGAAUUGAGACUCCCUAACUCUGCUGUCCUAUGCUUAUCCUCUUGAAGGCUGGUAAGUGAGAAAAGCAGGGUUAGACAAAAGAAUUGGGGGCAAUAAUUCCCUGUAUAUAACUUGAAACUGAGUCAUCAAGACAAGACAACCUACUAAAUGGGAGAGGGUAUUUGCAAAUUAUAUAUCCAAUAAGGGAUUCAUAUUUAAGAUACAUAAAUAACUUUACAACUCAACACCCAAAAACCCCAAAACAAUCGAAUUAAGAAACAGGUAGAGGAACUAAAUAGAUUUUUUUUUUCCCAAGAAGACAUAAAGAUGCCCAAAAAACACGUGAAAAGAUGUUUAACAUCAUUCAUCAUCAGGGAAAUACAUAUCAAAACCACAAUGAGAUAUUACCUUACACUUGUCGAAAUGGCUAAUAUCAAAAAGACAAGAAAAAACAACUGCUGGUGAGGAUCUGGAGAAAUGUAACCCUCAGGCACUUUUGAUGAGAAUGCAAACUGGUGUUUCCACUGGGAAACAGAAGAGAAGUUUCUCAAAAAACUAUAAAUAGAAAUAUCAUACAUUCUAGUAAUUAUACUACUGGGUAUAGUAUCUAAAGAAAAUGAAAACACUAAUUCAAAAAGGUACAUGUACCCCUAUUUUAUUUCAGCAUUAUUUACAAGAGCCAAGAUAUGGAAGCAGACUAAGUGUCCACUGAUACAUGAAUGGAAAAAGAAGAUAUGGCAUAUAUAUAGUGGAAUAUUACUCAGCCACGAAGAAGAAUGAGAUCUUGCCAUUUGCAGCAACAUGGAUAGACCCAGAAGGUAUAAUGCCAAGUGAAAUAAGCCAGAAAGAGAAAACCAAAUACCAUAUGACUGAACUCACAUGGGAAUGUAAGAAAUAAAGCAAAUGAACAAAUAAAGGUGGGGGAUGGGGGAGACAAACAAAAACCAGACUCUUAAAUACAGAAAACAGGUUGCCAGAGAGGAGGGGGCGGGGCAGAUGAAAUAGAUAAAGGGGAUUAAGAGUAUACUUUCCAUGAUGAGCCCUGAGUAAUGUAUAGAAUUACUGAAUUACUAUAUUGUACACCUGAAACUAUAUAACAUUGUAUGUGAAUUAUAUUUCAAUAAAUCAAGAAAAUUAAA